GUAAUCCCAAAGAACAGCAUCGGAGUAAUUUUUUACUCUGGGGAAAGUCCUCGGACAAAUCGCAGAAACGCACCCUGAAAAGGAAAGUUUAGUCAUUUGAAAUAGUUAUGCUGUUAGGUAUUGGUCUACCAAACAAAAUGAGGCUUACUCUUGGGAGUACAACCC